UUACAUUGCUUUUAAAUUAUGCAUAAAGAUGUUGUAUUGUCUUGAGGUGAUUAGCUGUCAAUUAAUUUUUAUACGACCGCAAAACAUUUUUUGUGGUCGUAUAUUGGUAUGACGUUGGCGUCGUCGUCGUCGUCGUCGUCGUCCGAAGUCACAUUAGUUUUCGCACUCUAACUUUAGUUUAAGUGAAUGGAUCUCAAUGAAAUUUUACCAUAAGGUUCAAUACCACAAAAGGAAGGUGGGGAUUGAUUUUGGGGGUUAUGGUACCAACAGUUAAGGAAUUAGGGGCAAAAAAGGGGCCAAAAAUAAGCAUUUUUGUAACUUCCAGAUAUAACUUGUGUGUAAGUGUAUGGAUCUCUCUGACAUUGAACCACAAGGUUCCAUAUCACAAAGGGAAUGCUGGGAUUGAUUUUGGGGGUAAUUGCCUCCAAAUUUUAAGAAUUAGGGGCCAAAAAGGGGCAAAAAACAAGCAUUUUUCUAGUUUCAUGACAAUAACAUGUGUGUAAGUGUAUGGAUAUUUAUGAAAUUGUACUACAAGGUUCCAUAUCACAAAGGGAAAGCUGGAAUUGAGUUUGGGGAUAAUUGCCUCCAAAUUUUAGGAAUUAGGGGCCAAAAAUAAGCAUUUUUCUAGUUUCCAGACAAUAACCUGUGUUCAAGUGUAUGGAUAUCUCUGAAAUUGUACUGCAAGGUACCAAACCACAAAGGGAAGGCUGGGAUUGAGUUUGGGGGUGAUGAAUCAUAAGGGGGUUCAAACAAUUUGGAGGGGAUUUUUUUUUUCAUUUUUUUUUCUUUAAAAUUUUCC